CUCACUGACUCAGGGCUGUGUAGAAGAGAUAAGUAGUGUCUUGGCUUCUUGAGUUAUCAGAGUCACCAAAUCAUUACUUUUUUCCAAUGACUGUCUCAGCUCCACGGAAUACCUUGUCUGAACUAGCAGGGGAAAUAAAACAAUGAUAGGCCCUGACUCUUUCAUCCAUUUUUUUUCAGUUUCUCAUUUCCUUUUCUCUAUCAGCAGCAGUGAGAAGCUUUGCUCUGCAAUCCCACCUAUAAGGACCUCAAAUCCUUUUGGAGCACAGACUUGGGAACCCUGUUCUGGGACCUGAUCUCUGGUUCAAUCAGAAAUAGCACAUUAUUGCAAGAAAGACUGUUCUCAUGGUGUUUGCAUCCUGCCUGGAACCACUGGACAUCUGGGAAGGAGGAAGCCUUUUCUUACAUGACUCCAGCAGAUGCAAAAGGUUUGGAGGUAACUUAGAUAAGGGUAUGAGAAAAAAGCUGCAACAUAAAAAACACAACUGGGAGGUUACUGAUUAAAAGUGAAGAAUACAAGACAGGAACAACUGUUAGGCUGGGCAGUUGUUGAAGAUAAUUCAAGCAUCUGGAGGAAGCUGAAUUGAACAGCAAGUAAACAAAUGAGAAGAACACCCCACCCUUCCUCUUAUUUGAAGGCUGUGCAAUUAAUGGAGAAUGUGAUCAACCAGUCCUUCCCUUGCUGCCAGGACAAACUCUUGUUAAUUCACGUUGCCAGUGUUCUACAGAGCAACAGCAGCACUUGCCCUUCCGCUUGCCUUUUGUUUGGACAGCCAGUGGCACUGCUCAGGGAGAAAGUAAGACACAAUGGAUCUGAAUCUCACACCUGGGUGGUGUGAAUGGGUGUUCUGCAUACACUGUUGUGUCAUGGGAGGACAGGGUAUCACUGCCAUUUCGGUUGCUGCAGUAACUC